GCCCGGCUAGCUCAAUCGGCAGAGCGUGAGACUCUUAAUCUCAAGGUUGGGGGUUCGACCCCCCGUCGGGCU
rnacentral:tRNA from 1 species